UCUGCCCUUGGGUCCGGAAUAACUCUCCGAAAGGAGUGCUAAUACCGGAUGAUGACGUAAGUCCAAAGAUUUAUCGCCCAGGGAUGAGCCCGCGUAAGAUUAGGUAGUUGGUGAGGUAAAGGCUCACCAAGCCGACGAUCUUUAGCUGGUCUGAGAGGAUGAUCAGCCACACUGGGACUGAGACACGGCCCAGACUCCUACGGGAGGCAGCAGUGGGGAAUAUUGGACAAUGGGCGAAAGCCUGAUCCAUCAAUGCCGCGUGAGUGAUGAAGGCCUUAGGGUUGUAAAGCUCUUUUACCCGGGAUGAUAAUGACAGUACCGGGAGAAUAAGCCCCGGCUAACUCC
rnacentral:rRNA from 1 species